AACAGGAUUAGAUACCCUGGUAGUCCACGCCCUAAACGAUGUCUACUAGUUGUCGGGUCUUAAUUGACUUGGUAACGCAGCUAACGCGUGAAGUAGACCGCCUGGGGAGUACGGUCGCAAGAUUAAAACUCAAAGGAAUUGACGGGGACCCGCACAAGCGGUGGAUGAUGUGGAUUAAUUCGAUGCAACGCGAAAAACCUUACCUACCCUUGACAUGUACAGAAUCCCGAAGAGAUUUGGGAGUGUUCGAAAGAAAACUGUAACACAGGUGCUGCAUGGCUGUCGUCAGCUCGUGUCGUGAGAUGUUGGGUUAAGUCCCGCAACGAGCGCAACCCUUGUCAUUAGUUGCUACGAAAGGGCACUCUAAUGAGACUGCCGGUGACAAACCGGAGGAAGGUGGGGAUGACGUCAAGUCCUCAUGGCCCUUAUGGGUAGGGCUUCACACGUCAUACAAUGGUACAUACAGAGGGCCGCCAACCCGCGAGGGGGAGCUAAUCCCAGAAAGUGUAUCGUAGUCCGGAUUGUAGUCUGCAACACGACUACAUGAAGUUGGAAUCGCUAGUAAUCGCGGAUCAGCAUGUCGCGGUGAAUACGUUCCCGGGUCUUGUACACACCGCCCGUCACACCAUGGGAGCGGGUUUUACCAGAAGUAGGUAGCCUAACCGUAAGGAGGGCGCCUACCACGGUAGGAUUCGUGAUUGGGGUGAAGUCGUAACAAGGUAGCCGUA
rnacentral:rRNA from 1 species